rnacentral:rRNA from 1 species
AACGGAUGGUCCACCGUGAUAGAAGUAUCAGAAGGCAUUGUAGUUGGUGAGGAAGAAUGACCUGGAAGUAACAAAUAUUUUGGGACAUGGUAGACACUUUAACUUCUCUUGUUUUCUCAUUUCCAAUAAUAUAAGAGCAGUGUGACUUGUCUUGCCGUUUUAUUUCAACUAAUAAUAGCCACUUCGCUUUGGCGGUGGAAUUAAAGCAAGAGAUCUGUCAGGACUAGCAUUAAGUAAGGCUGAAUUGGUUUCUAAACUUCAAGCUUUUGAGCAAGCGAAACAAGUACUCGAAGAAAAGUUCAAUGGCGUGGUGCAAGAAGUGUCCGAAAUUAAGUGUCUUCUGUCUGGUUGAUCUCUAAGUGAUAGUUCUUGUGAAAACUAGUGAUCAAGACUGAUGGUUCUACAUGCUAUAUAGAAGCAUCAAGGUUCUUUGUAAUUGCCGAUGAGGAAUGAUAUCCAUUCAAAUAACGAUGAUGUCCCUCGAUUGAAGAUUAAUAAUUAUUAUCUUUUCUAGUUUCCUGUUUUCCAGUUAGAUAUGAGCAAGUACAUUGUUCAUAUAAGGAGUGCUUUUGACUCAAUUUCUUAAAUGAUAUUGUAAUUUCAGAAUUGUAUGUCGGCAUUUUGGUAUUUCUAUUAAUAAACGACGCUAUC